rnacentral:rRNA from 1 species
AUUGAACGCUGGCGGCAUGCUUUACACAUGCAAGUCGAACGGUAACAGGGAGCUUGCUCCGCUGACGAGUGGCGAACGGGUGAGUAAUAUAUCGGAACGUGCCCAAGAGUGGGGGAUAACGUAGCGAAAGUUUCGCUAAUACCGCAUACGAUCCAAGGAUGAAAGCAGGGGACCUUCGGGCCUUGUGCUCCUGGAGCGGCCGAUAUCUGAUUAGCUAGUUGGUGAGGUAAAGGCUCACCAAGGCGACGAUCGGUAGCUGGUCUGAGAGGACGACCAGCCACACUGGAACUGAGACACGGUCCAGACUCCUACGGGAGGCAGCAGUGGGGAAUUUUGGACAAUGGGGGCAACCCUGAUCCAGCAAGGCCGCGUGAGUGAAGAAGGCCUUCGGGUUGUAAAGCUCUUUUGUCAGGGAAGAAAAGGGUACGGCUAAUAUCCGUGCCUCAUGACGGUACCUGAAGAAUAAGCACCGGCUAACUACGUGCCAGCAGCCGCCGUAA